UACGUAGGGGGCAAGCGUUGUCCGGAUUUAUUGGGCGUAAAGAGCGUGUAGGCGGAUUGUUAAGUCAGGGGUGAAAUCCUGGAGCUCAACUCCAGAACUGCCUUUGAUACUGGCGAUCUCGAGUCCGGGAGAGGUGAGUGGAACUGCGAGUGUAGAGGUGAAAUUCGUAGAUAUUCGCAAGAACACCAGUGGCGAAGGCGGCUCACUGGCCCGGUACUGACGCUGAGGUGCGAAAGCGUGGGGAGCAAACAGG
rnacentral:rRNA from 1 species